AAUUGAUACAAUUUGAAUAUGUAAAUGAAAAUCGAUAUGAUUUAAAUAAUAUACUAUCUCUUAAAAUUGAUACAGCGAUGUCAAAGAUUAGAAUGUAUUAGAACUUUGCAUUAGAAAGCUUUUUUCUAAAGAGAUUUUGGAGAUUGAAGUUUUAUACGAGUUAUUUUCACAAUGUCAUCUAUUCCAAGAAUGUGAUCUUCCUAAUGUUCCGAUUAUCAGUGUAUAAGGUAUCAAUUUG